rnacentral:lncRNA from 1 species
ACAUGUUCAUUCACCAUCUCCUCAUAUCUACAAAUCUCCACCUCCACCAUCACAUCCUAAGCCCCAUCCCCCUCAUCCUCCACAUCCUAAGACUCCUUAAGCACCACAUUCGAAGUAUCUUUAUAAGUCACCAUCACCUCUAAAGGCUUACUAAGUUAAUGCUUUUUGUUUCGUCCAUUUAAAUUGGUGAUAACAUGUUCUUUCGUGACGAUAUAUGUCAUCAAUUUGUUAACUAGCCUUAUAAUCUUGGAG